AUGCUCGCCAAGGUGAGGCGCGAGGGCAAGAUUGCUAUCGCUACCGCGACGUCGGGCGUCGCUGCUUCUAUCAUGCCUGGCGGCAGGACUGCCCACUCGAGAUUCAAAAUCCCACUGAGUUGUGAUGAUGGAGCCUCGCGCAGCUUCACCAAGCAGAGUGGGACUGCCAAGCUGCUAAGGAUGGCCUCAUUGAUACUAUGGGACGAGGCCAGCAUGACUAAGCGACAAGCGGUUGAGGCAUUAGACAAUAGCAUGCGCGACAUCAUGGGAAUACGCGACCGACCCUUUGGAGGAAAGACUAUUGUUUUUGGCGGGGACUUUAGGCAGGUGCUUCCGGUCGUCAGAAGGGGGUCACGGGGCCAGAUAAUUGAUGCAAGCCUCUGA
rnacentral:rRNA from 1 species